UCAGGGUCCCUUACUGCAUAGUGGGGUAUUGCAUGCUGUAAAAAUCCUUGGGGCACACCAGUUGGGAAUCGCCAACGGAGACCCUGAACAGGCUUGGGAAGUGGGCGGGGUCUGAAGUAGGGACAGGAGCCUGGUUUGUAGAGUUGGGGAUGCCAGGGGACCACCCACGUGCAGUGCAAAGAUCACCACCGGACAAUGGACCCUGGAGCCAGGGCUGGAGUCAGGGGUUCAGGGCGCUCUCUGCAGAGCUGAAGGAUUAAAACCGGGGUGGGGGGGGGGAGGAUCUAAAAGGACCACCCCAAGAAACAUGGUUGGGGGGGGUUCCCUUGAAUGAAAAAAAAUCAAGUGAUGUUUAACAGGAAAAAGUCCUUCACAUCUGGGAUUGGCAUUGGCUGCAUUUUGACACUUACAGCUGAGCUCAUGGGUGUCAGGAAAGUUACCCUACCCACGGGGACUAGGUCCGGGGUGCCUCGCCUGGGCUGAUGCUGGCGUUCAUGUUCGCCUUUCAUAGCAACCCCGUCCCUCCGACAGGUGCUGGCUUCCCACGUAGGGUGUUUUUGCUCAUUUCUCUGGCGAAGUGUAAGCAGCGCUCGUCUUCAUUAUAAGGAAGCAGAAUUGGAAGCUGCAGCGUUUGGUUCACUGGAGCAGUGUUUUCUUUUAACCUGAGG